rnacentral:misc_RNA from 1 species
AACGCACAUUGCGCCCCUUGGUAUUCCGGGGGGCAUGCCUGUUCGAGCGUCAUUAUCACCCCUCAAGCUCAGCUUGGUGUUGGGGUCUGCCCGUCACAGGGCAGCCCUUAAAAGCAGUGGCGGUGCUAUCUGGCUCUAAGCGUAGUAAUACUCCUCGCUAUAGACGUCUGGUGGUGUCCUGCCAAAACCCCCCAAUAUUUUUAAUGAUUGACCUCGGAUCAGGUAGGGAUACCCGCUGAACUUAA